rnacentral:rRNA from 1 species
GAUAGUGACAAGAAAUAACAAUACAGGGCUUCGGUCUUGUAAUUGGAAUGGAUGCGAUUUAAAAACUCGCGUGAGUAUCGAUUGGAGGGCAAGUCUGGUGCCAGCAGCCGCGGUAAUUCCAGCUCCAAUAGCGUAUAUUAAAAUUGUUGCAGUUAAAAAGCUCGUAGUUGAACAUGUGCUUCUACCCGAAGGUCUGUUGAUUCAUUAACAGUGCCUUUGUGGUCAGGCAUUUUUUCCGGGGAUACUGUUGCAGUUAAUUCUGUGGCAGAAUUGCCGGACAUUUACUUUGAGAAAAUUAGAGUGUUUCAAGCAAGUUUGCGCUUUGCAUACUACAGCAUGGAAUAAUUUACACGAUCCAGAGUCAUGUAUGAUGAUCCACUU